rnacentral:lncRNA from 12 species
GGGCACCAAAUGCUGCCUUUAUAAUUACAUAGCACUGCUUAUACACUCAGGUUUUCUCCUUAUAUAACUUCAUGGGAAGAAGAAAAGCUGAACAACAUUUGCAAAGACCAAACUGCCUGAGGGAUGGUGUGAGAAUCACACGCUUGACCACAUACUGUUCCAGCAAAGCUUGGCCGACGCCGCUCAGAAAAUACUGCUCCUGUCCACCUCCAGCCUGCUGCAAGGAGCCCGUGAGAGCUUCAGAAGUGUCUUUGCAGAGCAGAGCAGGGGCAGCAUGCUUCCCUUCUUUCCCCAGCCGCUGGUAGUUAGGAGACUCUGGGAAACUGAAGUAGCCAAGUCUUACGUCAGAGGUGAAAAGAUGCUCAAAUUAGUUCUGGGUCUCCAGAGGGCACCUAAAGGACUUGAUGUUAUUAGUAUGUCUGUUAUUAGGCAGUCAUCUCAAGUUUAGUGGUGUGUGUUUUUAAAACCAAGAAGGAAUUAUUUUCUUCUGAGAAGCUAACAUGCUGACAUUAACCCUGCCGUCUACAAAAAAGAGAAGAGAAGGAGGAAAAAAAGGAAAUUCCAAAAAAUUGGAGGACAGUUUGCUGACUAAAAUAAAAUACAUGUUGAGAGUUCUGAAGAAAGAAAC